rnacentral:tRNA from 1 species
CGGUGGCCGGGGUGGCCGGGUUCGGCCUGCUCGGGCUGGGCCUGUCCUGCGUGGCGCCGCAGUUCUUCUCGGCCGCCGCCGC